rnacentral:lncRNA from 1 species
UGAGUCUCCUGGGCUCUCUAGCACUUUCCCCUGAGGGAAGGAGGCAGGGAGCUUCUCUUCAGAGGCCAUUGCAGCUUACUCACGGGAUGGCCUAAGACGUCUGAGCUCUGGGUCAAGAACACUGAAAGUCACACGUCCCAAUAGGCACCCCACACUCUGGAAGGCCCCCUUCUGUCUGUGGCCUCUUCACGGGCCCAGGACCUUCCCUUUUCAGAUCUCACGGUUGAAUUCUCUGCCUGAAUGUCCCUGGCUUCCGGGCGUCCUGCCUGGGCCCCUGGUGUGCCUACACCUUGGCUGAGCAGCUAGGGAUGGGGGUGUGCAGGCUGCAGUGUCCACAGGUGUGCACAGGGCCCCUCACGAUGUGGACCAGGCGGGGAUGCAAGAGAAGGGGAACAGGCUGGGGGCCGGGACCCUCUGCUGAAAUCCUGACCUGGACGCAGCAGACGUCGGCAGCGGGUGGGCCCAGUCUGGGGGACUGACACCGGCUGCCCAUUGGGGAAAACUGUGUGUGUGGUCUCCAUCCUUGUUGUGAGCGUUGUUGUGCAACGUGAGAACCAAUGGCGGGGAGACCAGCGGACGCCCACCCGUGAUGACGAGCCCGCUCUGGGUGCCCGUGCCGUUAGGAUGGACCGUUUGCUAGAUUGGAGUCGGGUUCACAAGGGAUCUUCCCAGUCUCCUUUUUUUUUUUUUUUUUUUGGAAAUCAAAGAUGUAGUAGGGUUGUGCUUUGACAUCGCCACUGUUUUGAGAUAGCGUUGUUUUUCUUUAUAAUGACUCUCUCACUAUAAGAUGUGAGACCAUUAUUGAUUCAGCUGGCCUUGACAUCAGCCCUUGUUUUCUGAUGCCCUCACUCUCCCUCCCAAGUCCCUUGAGGUCUUGGAGGGCAGCUGUGUACUUUUCUCUCCUUUUACUUGGAAUCACUAUCCGUGGAAAUAAUUGCUGGGCACGUUAUGGAAUAGAAAGUGAAGAACAACGGAGUUGUAUGCUAUAGAAAUGGGAUCAUCUCAUUUUCAUUUGAAAGCUACCCCAGGGGCACAUUGCUCUGCCUCGAGAAUCCCUCCACGUUCACCCCUUGCUCGUGGAGAGGCUGUAAGGUCAGGCAGGCCAGCCUGGGGAUGCCCAGCACCUAGCUUGGACCCUUUGGCUGAGGCAGUUCUCAGCUGCCCACACCGUGUGUGUGUGUGUGUGUGUGUGUGUGUGUGUGGGGUGGGGGAGGG